GAUGAACGCUGGCGGCGUGCCUAAUACAUGCAAGUCGAGCGGUAAGGCCACUUCGGUGGUACACGAGCGGCGGACGGCUGAGUAACACGUAGGAACGUACCCCAAACUGAGGGAUAAGCACCAGAAAUGGUGUCUAAUACCGCAUGUGCUCUUCGGAGUAAAGCUACGGCGGUUUGGGAACGGCCUGCGCAUGAUUAGCUUGUUGGUGAGGUAAUGGCUCACCAAGGCGACGAUCAUUAGCUGGUCUGAGAGGAUGAUCAGCCAGACUGGGACUGAGAACGGCCCAGACUCCUACGGGAGGCAGCAGUAGGGAAUUUUCCACAAUGGACGAAAGUCUGAUGGAGCAACGCCGCGUGCAGGAUGAAGGCUUUCGGGUCGUAAACUGCUUUAUCUGUGAAGAUUAUGACGGUAGCAGAUGAAUAAGGAUCGGCUAACUCCGUA
rnacentral:rRNA from 1 species